rnacentral:rRNA from 1 species
GCGGCCUAUCAGCUUGUUGGCGGGGUAAAAGCCCACCAAGGCUAAGACGGGUAGCUGGUCUGAGAGGACGACCAGCCACACUGGAACUGAGACACGGUCCAGACACCUACGGGUGGCACCAGUCGAGAAUUUUUCACAAUGGGGGAGACCCUGAUGGAGCGACGCCGCGUGGGGGAUGAAGGGCUUCNGUUCGUAAACCCCUGUCAUUGGCGAACAAGUGUUGCAUUCU